GUCAACACCUUGGAAUUAAACCUGAAUUAAUCAGCACUAAUGGCCAAUAACACGCACGAUAAAGCUGGAAAAUGGAACACUCAGAAGGUUCAAAUUUAAACAUCACUCUCCUUCCCUCUCAUCCUGCAUCCUCGCCGGAGAUGAGACGCCGCCGCUUCGGAGGAGGUGGCGUGGUCCAAUCAGUAAAAUACCAACACCAAAACGCUCGCCAUUAAACCUUACGUCUGAAUCCCCGAGCCAAUCAUUCCACCUCUUAACUACACUCUCAAAUCGACGUCGAAUAGGAUACGGACCAUAGAUCUUUGAAACGCGAAUAAGACGAAGAUCAAGAGGAAUCAAAGCCCCUCGCACGACGACAAUAAAUUCAGGGCGGAACAGUGAACAGAGCCUACCUGCAGAACGGAGAAAUGUUCUGGAAUUCGUUGAAAAAUAAGAUGAUGAUAUUGAAUAAGAAUACUAGAGUUUCUUCCGGACUUGAUCAAGUGGCCUUAUGCAUUGAAGGUUUGGAGUAGCAUGAUGUUCAUCGCCAUUCUGACUUGAUGAAAGGUUCGUGUCUGCAGGUCCAUAAGGAGGUUGCAAGGUUUGCAUUUAGGUAUGGUUUAUUGCAGGUUCACAAAGCUUGGGUUGGUCUGUUCCUUUUGCAGGUUUGCACAGCCGAAAUUUGUCUGGUUUUGUAGGUUUGUAUGCUCAGAAUUUGGGCUUGUAAAAUGAAGUGCAUUGCUUGGAAUCAUGGAGUUUUCACAUUGCUUUUAGCCAUGGAAUUUGAAUGUAUUUGAACUCAUGGUCUUGGACAUUUGGAUUAAUGGUUGUAAUUGGUUCAAAGGGAUGUAAUAUGUAUGGUUUAUGUCAUGUAUGAUAAGACAUGGUGAUUGAAUGUAAUUAGGUCAAGUGACUUGUAAAUAUCAAUGUAAUUUUAUUCAAAUCGUACUUUAAAUGGUUGCAUGUAAUUUAUGGAAUUAGAUGUAAAUGGUUUGAAUUGUAUUGAAAAGUGAUUUGAAAAAUGAAAUGGUAAUGACUUGUAAAUGGUUUUGGAAUU